GGCGGCGUGCCUAAUACAUGCAAGUCGAGCGGAAUGAUGAAGAAGCUUGCUUCUUCUGAUUUUAGCGGCGGACGGGUGAGUAACACGUGGGCAACCUACCUUGUAGAUUGGGAUAACUCCGGGAAACCGGGGCUAAUACCGAAUAAACCAUUUUGCUUCAUGGCAAGAUGUUGAAAGGCGGCUUCGGCUGUCACUACUAGAUGGGCCCGCGGCGUAUUAGCUAGUUGGUAGGGUAAUGGCCUACCAAGGCGACGAUACGUAGCCGACCUGAGAGGGUGAUCGGCCACACUGGGACUGAGACACGGCCCAGACUCCUACGGGAGGCAGCAGUAGGGAAUCUUCCACAAUGGACGAAAGUCUGAUGGAGCAACGCCGCGUGAGUGAAGAAGGUUUUCGGAUCGUAAAACUCUGUUGUAAGGGAAGAACACGUACGAGAGUAACUGCUCGUACCUUGACGGUACCUUAUUAGAAAGCCACGGCUAACUACGUGCCAGCAGCCGCGGUAAUACGUAGGUGGCAAGCGUUGUCCGGAAUUAUUGGGCGUAAAGCGCGCGCAGGCGGUUCUUUAAGUCUGAUGUGAAAGCCCACGGCUCAACCGUGGAGGGUCAUUGGAAACUGGAGAACUUGAGUACAGAAGAGGAAAGCGGAAUUCCACGUGUAGCGGUGAAAUGCGUACAGAUGUGGAGGAACACCAGUGGCGAAGGCGGCUUUCUGGUCUGUAACUGACGCUGAGGCGCGAAAGCGUGGGGAGCAAACAGGAUUAUAUACCCUGGUAGUCCACGCCGUACACGAUGAGUGCUAAGUGUUAGGGGGCUUCCGCCCCUUAGUGCUGCAGCUAACGCAUUAAGCACUCCGCCUGGGGAGUACGACCGCAAGGUUGAAACUC
rnacentral:rRNA from 1 species